rnacentral:misc_RNA from 1 species
ACCUUGGAAUUUCUUUGGAAUUUUUCGUUUUAUAAGACGAUAAUAGAUGAACAAUUAUUUCUGUUUUAUAUUAUUUUACUGAAUUAGGUAUUAUUUUCCUGCAUAAUUCAAUGAACUAAUAUAAAGCUAAAAACAAUGUGCUUCUAUUGUUUCUUUAUAAAACGAAAGAAACUUAUCGGACAACCUACUACUAUCGAUAGAAUUUAAGAAACACCAUAAAUAUAGACACCUUGGAAUUUCUUUGGAAUUUUUCGUUUUGUAAGACGAUAAUUUCUAUUUUAUAUUACUUUAUCGAAUUAGGUAUCACCCAUUUUCCUUCUAUUUCUAUUAUUAUUUUCCUGCAUAAUUCAAUGAAUUAAUAUAAAACUAAAAACAAUGUGCUUCUAUUGUUUCUUUAUAAAACGAAAGAAACUUAUCGGACAACCUACUACUAUCAAUAGAAUUUAAUAAACACCAUAAAUAUAGACA